rnacentral:lncRNA from 1 species
UCACUCACGACUACCCUCAACCAGAACUUAUGCCAAAUGCUCUGCUGGAAAACGCAGCAACAAUGAUAGGAAAAUCAAUCUAAAUAGCCUGCUUCUGCCCAGUUCUCACCCAGUCAAGGUUCUGUCCGUUUUUUAACUCUCCGUGACUUUAUAGUUGUCCGGGGUCAUUGUUCAUUGGUUCCGUUUCAGCUCCGUCCAUAGUUUGUCAUGUCUGGGUUUAACGCUGCCUCAUAAGUAAGCUUAGUUCUGUACAGCAACUUCUGGAGAUCAAAUUUUGAGGUGCCGUCCGAGGUUUGUCGAGUUCCGACGAGCUCCGAAGUCCGGGUGCAGUUCCGAUUGUCAACUCUCUGUUGAUUGCAAAUAUCAGAUCCGAGUCUUUGUUAGUAAAAUCAUGGAGGCAUGUUUCCUUGUUUCAUUGGUUUUUCAGCUAAUUCAUGAAUCUUAGGACUUAUUUUGAAGGAAUAACUUUGAGUUUGGAUGAUUUUGAAGAAAAUUCUGUUGCCGGGCGAGAUUCUAUCUUUUCAUUGUAGUCCACGGGAUUUUACUCUGGGGAAGCUCAUUCCUUGGAUGGAUCAUAACUUAUACAAAGGAUAGUCUC